rnacentral:rRNA from 1 species
UACGUAGGGUGCAAGCGUUAAUCGGAAUUACUGGGCGUAAAGCGUGCGCAGGCGGUUAUGUAAGACAGAUGUGAAAUGCCCGGGCUUAACCUGGGAACUGCAUUUGUGACUGCAUGGCUAGAGUUUGGCAGAGGGGGGUAGAAUUCCACGUGUAGCAGUGAAAUGCGUAGAUAUGCGGAGGAACACCGAUGGCGAAGGCAGCCCCCUGGGCUAACACUGACGCUCAGGCACGAAAGCGUGGGGAGCAAACAGG